rnacentral:rRNA from 1 species
CCUGCAUGAAGUUGGAAUUGCUAGUAAUCGCGAAUCAGAAUGUCGCGGUGAAUACGUUCCCGGGCCUUGUACACACCGCCCGUCACACCAUGAGAGUCGAUAACACCCGAAGCCUGUGAGCUAACCGUAAGGAGGCAGCAGUCGAAGGUGGGGUUGAUGAUUGGGGUGAAGUCGUAACAAGGUAUC